CGUACAGUCAAGGAGACCAGCCUUCCGUGCAGUCGAACGGCAGCACGGGUGCUUGCACCUGGUGGCGAGUGGCGAACGGGUGAGUAAUACAUCGGAACAUGUCCUGUAGUGGGGGAUAGCCCGGCGAAAGCCGGAUUAAUACCGCAUACGAUCUAUGGAUGAAAGCGGGGGACCUUCGGGCCUCGCGCUAUAGGGUUGGCCGAUGGCUGAUUAGCUAGUUGGUGGGGUAAAGGCCUACCAAGGCGACGAUCAGUAGCUGGUCUGAGAGGACGACCAGCCACACUGGGACUGAGACACGGCCCAGACUCCUACGGGAGGCAGCAGUGGGGAAUUUUGGACAAUGGGCGAAAGCCUGAUCCAGCAAUGCCGCGUGUGUGAAGAAGGCCUUCGGGUUGUAAAGCACUUUUGUCCGGAAAGAAAUCCUUGGCUCUAAUACAGUCGGGGGAUGACGGUACCGGAAGAAUAAGCACCGGCUAACUACGUGCCAGCAGCCGCGGUAAUACGUAGGGUGCAAGCGUUAAUCGGAAUUACUGGGCGUAAAGCGUGCGCAGGCGGUUUGCUAAGACCGAUGUGAAAUCCCCGGGCUCAACCUGGGAACUGCAUUGGUGACUGGCAGGCUAGAGUAUGGCAGAGGGGGGUAGAAUUCCACGUGUAGCAGUGAAAUGCGUAGAGAUGUGGAGGAAUACCGAUGGCGAAGGCAGCCCCCUGGGCCAAUACUGACGCUCAUGCACGAAAGCGUGGGGAGCAAACAGGAUUAGAUACCCUGGUAGUCCACGCCCUAAACGAUGUCAACUAGUUGUUGGGGAUUCAUUUCCUUAGUAACGUAGCUACGCGUGAAGUUGACCGCCUGGGGAGUACGGUCGCAAGAUUAAAACUCAAAGGAAUUGACGGGGACCCGCACAAGCGGUGGAUGAUGUGGAUUAAUUCGAUGCAACGCGAAAACCUUACCUACCCUUGACAUGGUCGGAAUCCUGAGAGAUUCGGGAGUGCUCGAAGAGACCGGCGCACAGUGCUGCAUGCUGUCGUCAGCUCGUGUCGUGAGAUGUGGGUUAGUCCCGCAACGAGCGCAACCCUGUUCUAGUGCUACGCAGAGCACUCUAUGAACUGCAGUGACACGAGAGUUGGGGAUGACGUCAGUCCUCAUGCCUAUGGUAGGCCUUCCACCCUCAUACCAUGGUCGGAACGAGAGGGUGUGCGAGCU
rnacentral:rRNA from 1 species